rnacentral:lncRNA from 1 species
UUACCCAAUCUUAUUUGGGGACUCAUCUUUGUGCAUUGCAUAAUGGUGGAGCAAUUGAAUAAUAUACCGCACAUUUAAAUUUCUAGAUGAGAAUUAUUUUGGUUCUUGACCCUGAACCAAUCAUGAUAGGGGAACCUUGUUGGCUUGAUAUGUACAAGUGUUGCUAUAUUUUAAAUAACGCAUCUAAUACCAAAUUUCUUUUUGAGAUUUUUUGUUCUCAUAACCAAUGGUUUAGCUAUAAUUGGAGGCAUAUAUUUUUUGCUUAAACCACUUGAAUAUAAACCAACAUCAUCAUUAUAAUUUUAUAAUUUGAAAUGUGCUGUUGAUUUAACAAUUCAAGCAAAUAAUCUUUGCAAAAAUCAAAUUGCAGGUUGAUAAUAAAGCACAUCUGACCAUACCAUAGAUGCAUCUAUUAAAAUCAUUUAAUAGUAAAUGGUCCACAUGGCGGGUGAACGGGCACAUAAUCACCUUCUUUAUACAUUUCAAAAUUCAGGGGAUACAAUUCCAACAUUAGCUGAUACAAUGAUAAUUUUAUCAUGACAACAAACAACACAAGAGAAUUUUUGAAGAAUUUAUUAUUUCUUCAAUAUAUAACCACACGAAUUCUCAAUUAUUUUCACAUCAUAUUUGAACCGGGAUGAUCAAUCGAUCAUGCAAACUAAUAUUUAUUUCAGUAAAUCUCUCGUUUACUUCUACAUGUGAUUCCAUCAUCAUGCUCAUAUUUAUGUACCACAAACAAUAUGAGAAAUGGGUUAUCUUACACAAAAGUACUUAUAACCCACUUUGAUUGUAGUGAUAUGAAAAUCUUAAAUCUUCUCAUAAUUCGUAGUCUCAAUAUAAUUUUUUUCAUUGACUAUUCCUUUGAAACUUAAAAAGUUUCUUUUGAGACUUACUACAAUUUCAAUACCAUGAGCAAUUUUAUUUUCUUUGGAUAGUAUCAAAUUAGCUCACCAAAGCUCACAAUUAACAUUGGAUACUACCACAUAUUUCAUAACAUUGUUUGUGUGGUAAACAUCUCUUUCAAGGAGAAAUUUAUAUUAUUAUUGUCAUGGUCAAAAUCAUUACAAGAAAAAGUUGUUUCUUGAUUUAUUUUUGUCAUUAGUAUCUCCUCCCUUUUGUUUAAUAUUAGGUAAAAUAUUUUUGACGUAAAGAGAUACAUAAUCAAUGACAAAUUUUCGUGGUCAAGAAUUAUUUCCUUCUUUUGUCAUUUUGAUAGUUCAUCAAAAAAUGUAUCACAAUAUUUGUGAUGUACUAAAAGUACUUGACCAAUGACCAUUUAUUCCAACAUAAAAUUUCUCUAUUUCUCUCUAACCUCCCAUAGGGGUGAGUUGUGGUAUUUAUUAAAUCAUACAUGAGUAUGUCUUUAUAUAUAAAUUUCAUCAUCUCUUGACACAAUCACUUUCAAGAAUGGUCAACUUUUCAUGAUACUUAUCACAAGUCACAUUCUCUUCAAGGGAUUGACCAUAAUCAUAUAUACAUGCUUCAUAAUUAUUCCUUUCACUAGAAGUUUAUUGACAUGCUUUGAAAUUUAUCAUAUUCAUAUGACAUACCUCGACAUCACUUUUGAUGUGUAUCACCACUUUUCAUCCUUUUCUUUGAUGGGAAAUUUAUAAGCUUAUCAAGUUAUUAGGUCUCAUAACAAGCAUGUUUCAAAUGACCUUUCAUACCAUUUUGAUAACAAAAAUUACCUUCAUAUUUUGAAGGACUAUUUGAAAAAAUUACAGUGUUCUUCACUUUUUUCACACAAUGAUGACUAUUAUUAUUUUGUCUUUUGUCACACCCACAUUCAUUAUACAAUCUCAAUAGUCAUCUUUUAGAUUUAUCAUGUACUGCUACAACAUUCAUUUUUGAGAAUUGAGCAAAAUCAUGUAUUUUAUAAUUUUCAUCAAGAGCACAUUAGUUUGCUCAGUCAUAAUUAUGUCAUCACUAUGGUGCAUUAGGACUUAAAUUCAACAUCUUACCCUCUUGAUUCGAUGAAACUUGAAUUCAUCAUUUUAUCCUUAACCAAUGAGGUAAUAAGCCAAGAUGUAACAUGACUCACCCAUGAGCCUUUAAAAGAAUAUUAUGUUUAGUUAUAGAAACAAAAUAAAUUUAUUUCUUUGUACUUCAAUUCUCUUUUGAAAUAAAAUUGUUAGAAUUACACAAAUCAAAAUCUUAAAUUGUUGAGGUAAAACAAAUUAAUGUAUUCAAUCUUUAUAUAACACAUGUAAUACAAUAAGUCAUUCAUAUAGAAAAAAAUCAAUGUAAAAGUCAAAGCAAGAGGCUUAAAGUGAUUUCUUCAUAUUAUAGUGAAAAUACUACUAAGACAAAUUCUUUUCAAGUUAUAAUUUUCCUCUUUUCUUUUUCACAGUCGUACAACUCCUUUACAAGGAGGGAGUGGAGUUGUUUUAAUAAUUGCAACUUUCCUUCAAUGACCCACAUAACCUUUAUAAGGAAAAAAUAAUAUGAUAUUUUUAAAAAUGGAGAAUAUGCAAUCAGAUCUCAAUAAGACAUAAUAAUUGAACAGUAAUACCAUUCUUUUUUGUAAAUUAAGAAAUAUUUCCACCAAUUUAUUGAUAAGUAUGUGAUUCAAUAUGAAUCUUAUGUGAGACAUCUAUUAAUUGUGGCAAUAUAAAUAUAUUGAUGAUAAAAAUCAAAUCCUUUAUGUGGUUCUAAAGAAAGUAAUCUCAUAGCAAAAAUCAAAUCCAAACUUGACUAACCUUGACUCUCAUCUUACAAAAUGUGUUUGUAUAAAAUAUCUAAAAGCAACAAUAAAUUAUUCAUGGUGGCAGAUUGCAAUAUCAAGAUCUUCAAGAAUCAUACUCUAUUAUCCAAAGAACAAGAAACAACACAACAAUUUGAUUAAAUUCUUAAAAUUCAUAUUAUAUAUUAUUGACCUUUUCAACUUCAAGAAUCAUGUUAAAGAACUUACUAGCAAUGGUUCAAUUAGUCCAAUAAUUCCAUCUCACCUCAAGAAAAUAGCAAAUUAGAAGUAACUAUAGAUUUAUCCAAAAAAAUCAAGAACAGAUGAAUUUUAGUGAAGAAUAUAAUAUGAUAUUAUAUCAAACAUAUUACUUUUAAUCACCCAGAUCCAUAAAUUUAUAAACUACUCAAUGAUGAUAUCUUUUUUUUCUUAGUGAAGAAAUUAAAUAAAAAAAAUAUUUGGAGUAAGAGAUCAAAAUGUGGUUAGAACUUCGUGCUAAUAAAUGUGUUAUAAAACAAAAGCACAACAUAUUAAAAUAAAUGGUGAAAACAAAGAAAGAGGAAGAGGAAAGCAAAAGGUAAUAGGAACCUUUUCUCUAUAUUUUGGUGU